GACAGAGGUGCCGAGCGUUAGGCGGAAUCACUGGGCUUAAAGCGUGUGUAGGCGGUCGCCUAAGUGUCUUGUGAAAUCCCACGGCUCACCCGUGGAACUGCUGGGCAUACUGGGCGUCUUGGGCCAACUAGGGGCAGCCGGAACAAGCGGUGGAGCGGUGAAAUGCGUAGAUAUCGCUUGGAACGCCGAAGGUGAAAACAGGCUGCUGGGGUUGUGCCGACGCUGAGACACGAAAGCCAGGGGAGCAAACGGG
rnacentral:rRNA from 1 species